AGUGAACGCUGGCGGUAGGCCUAAUACAUGCAAGUCGAACGGCAGCACAGUAAGAGCUUGCUCUUACGGGUGGCGAGUGGCGGACGGGUGAGGAAUACAUCGGAAUCUACUUUUUCGUGGGGGAUAACGUAGGGAAACUUACGCUAAUACCGCAUACGACCUACGGGUGAAAGCAGGGGUUCUUCGGACCUUGCGCGAUUGAAUGAGCCGAUGUCGGAUCAGCUAGUUGGCGGGGUAAAGGCCCACCAAGGCGACGAUCCGUAGCUGGUCUGAGAGGAUGAGCAGCCACACUGGAACUGAGACACGGUCCAGACUCCGACGGGAGGCAGCAGUGGGGAAUAUUGGACAAUGGGCGCAAGCCUGAUCCAGCCAUACCGCGUGGGUGAAGAAGGCCUUCGGGUUGUAAAGCCCUUUUGUUGGGAAAGAAAAGCAGCAGGUUAAUACCCCGCUGUUCUGACGGUACCCAAAGAAUAAGCACCGGCUAACUUCGUG
rnacentral:rRNA from 1 species